rnacentral:rRNA from 1 species
UACAGAGGGUGCAAGCGUUGCUCGGAAUUAUUGGGCGUAAAGGGUAGGUAGGUGGUCUUAUUUGUCUGAGGUGAAAGCCUUGAGCUUAACUCAAGAAGUGCCUCGGAAACGGUAGGACUAGAGUUCUGGAGAGGGUCGUGGAAUUCCCGGUGUAGCGGUGAAAUGCGUAGAGAUCGGGAGGAACACCAGGGGCGUAAGCGGCGACCUGGACAGAAACUGACACUAAACUACGAAAGCGUGGGGAGCAAACAGG